rnacentral:rRNA from 1 species
GACGUAGGGCGCGAGCGUUGUCCGGAUUUAUUGGGCGUAAAGAGCUCGUAGGCGGCUUGUCGCGUCGAAUGUGAAAACCCACGGCUCAACUGUGGGCUUGCAUUCGAUACGGGCAGGCUAGAGUUCGGUAGGGGAGACUGGAAUACUUGGUGUAGCAGUGAAAUGCGUAGAUAUCAAGUGGAACACCAGUGGCGAAGGCGAGUCUCUGGACAUUUCCUGACGCUGAGGCACGAAAGCCAGGGGAGCAAACGGG